rnacentral:rRNA from 1 species
GACGAACGCUGGCGGCGUGCUUAGCACAUGCAAGUCGAACGGAAAGGCCCUGCUUUUGUGGGGUGCUCGAGUGGCGAACGGGUGAGUAACACGUGAGUAACUUGCCCUUGACUUUGGGAUAACUUCAGGAAACUAGGGGCUAAUACCGGAUAGGAGCUCCUGCUGCAUGGUGGGGGUUGGAAAGUUUCGGCGGUUGGGGAUGGACUCGCGGCUUAUCAGCUUGUCGGAGGGGUAGUGGCUUACCAAGGCGUUUGACGGGUAGCCGGCCUGAGAGGGUGGACCGGCCACAUUGGGACGUGAGAUACGGCCCAG